rnacentral:rRNA from 1 species
GACCAGCCACACCGGGACUGAGACACGGCCCGGACUCCUACGGGAGGCAGCAGUGGGGAAUAUUGGACAAUGGGGGCAACCCUGACCCAGCCAUGCCGCGUGUGUGAAGAAGGCCUUUUGGUUGUAAAGCACUUUAAGCAGUGAAGAAGACCUAACGGUUAAUACCCGUUAGCGAUGACAUUAGCUGCAGAAUAAGCACCGGCUAACUCUGUGCCAGCAGCCGCGGUAAUACAGAGGGUGCAAGCGUUAAUCGGAAUUACUGGGCGUAAAGCGAGCGUAGGUGGCUUGAUAAGUCAGAUGUGAAAUCCCCGGGCUUAACCUGGGAACUGCAUCUGAUACUGUUGGGCUAGAGUAGGUGAGAGGGAGGUAGAAUUUCAGGUGUAGCGGUGAAAUGCGUAGAGAUCUGAAGGAAUACCGAUGGCGAAGGCAGCCUCCUGGCAUCAUACUGACACUGAGGUUCGAAAGCGUGGGUAACAAACAGGAUUAGAUACCCUGGUAGUCCACGCCGUAAACGAUGUCUACUAGUCGUUGGGGAACUUGAUUCCUUAGUGACGCAGCUAACGCAAUAAGUAGACCGCCUGGGGAGUACGGCCGCAAGGUUAAAACUCAAAUGAAUUGACGGGGGCCCGCACAAGCGGUGGAGCAUGUGGUUUAAUUCGAUGCAACGCGAAGAACCUUACCUGGUCUUGACAUAUCUAGAAUCCUGCAGAGAUGCGGGAGUGCCUUCGGGAAUUAGAAUACAGGUGCUGCAUGGCUGUCGUCAGCUCGUGUCGUGAGAUGUUGGGUUAAGUCCCGCAACGAGCGCAACCCUUUUCCUUAGUUACCAGCGGUUUGGCCGGGGACUCUAAGGAUACUGCCAGUGACAAACUGGAGGAAGGCGGGGACGACGUCAAGUCAUCAUGGCCCUUACGACCAGGGCUACACACGUGCUACAAUGGUAGGUACAGAGGGCAGCUACACAGCGAUGUGAUGCGAAUCUCAAAAAGCCUAUCGUAGUCCAGAUUGGAGUCUGCAACCCGACUCCAUGAAGUAGGAAUCGCUAGUAAUCGCGGAUCAGAAUGCCGCGGUGAAUACGUUCCCGGGCCUUGUACACACCGCCCGUCACACCAUGGGAGUUGAUUGCACCAGAAGUGGGUAGCCUUCUUUUAGAGGGCGCUCACCACGGUGUGGUU